CUGUCUUUUCAUCGAGUCCCAAAGAAUAACGACCUUAGAAAGAUCUGGAUUUCAAAAAUUAGAAGAGAUGAAGGUGAUCUUUUCAAGAUUACAAACAAUACCAGAGUAUGUUCCAAGCAUUUUUCGGAGGUAGACUUCUCGCCCACUGACAAUGCAGGAGGUCGACUUUUAAAGCAAGGUGCAUUCCCUCACAUAUUUACAUGGAAGCCAAAUGCCAAAGUGAGGAGAAAAAUUAUUCGUCAUGUUGAAAGGUCUUCGACUGAGACACAUGACAAUGUUGAUGUUGACAUGGAAGAAAACCAACAACUUUAGAUCAGCAGUGAAAGUAGUGAAA